rnacentral:rRNA from 1 species
GGAGGUUGCAAGCGUUGUUCGGAAUUACUGGGCGUAAAGGGAGCGCAGGCGGAUUGGUCAGUUUGGAGUGAAAGUUCGGGGCUCAACCCCGGAUCUGCUUUGAAUACUGCCAAUCUUGAGUAUGUGAGAGGUAAGCGGAAUUUCAGGUGUAGCGGUGAAAUGCGUAGAUAUCUGAAGGAACAUCGGUGGCGAAAGCGGCUUACUGGCACAUUACUGACGCUCAGGCUCGAAAGCGUGGGGAGCGAACGGGAUUAGAUACCCCGGUAGUCCACGCUGUAAACGUUGUGCACUAGGUGUGGGGGGUAUCGACCCCUCCCGUGCCGCAGUUAACGCAUUAAGUGCACCGCCUGGGGAGUACGAUCGCAAGAUUGAAACUCAAAGGAAUUGACGGGGGCCCGCACAAUCGGUGGAGCAUGUGGUUUAAUUCGAGGCAACGCGAAGAACCUUACCCAGACUUGACAUCCCAGGACCACCAUAGAAAUAUGGCUUUCCCUUCGGGGAACCUGGAGACAGGUGUUGCAUGGCUGUCGUCAGCUCGUGUCGUGAGAUGUUGGGUUAAGUCCUGCAACGAGCGCAACCCCUAUUCUUAGUUACCAGCACGUUAUGGUGGGCACUCUAAGGAGACUGCCGGUGAUAAGCCGGAGGAAGGCGGGGACGACGUCAAGUCAUCACGGCCCUUACGUCUGGGGCUACACACGUGCUACAAUGGCCAGUACAGAGGGUUGCAAUGCCGCGAGGUGGAGCCAAUCUCAAAAAGCUGGUCUCAGUUCGGAUAGGAGUCUGCAACUCGACUCCUUGAAGUUGGAAUCGAUAGUAAUCGCGUAUCAGCUACGACGCGGUGAAUACGUUCCCGGGCCUU